rnacentral:piRNA from 1 species
UCAAAAGAGAGAACUGCCAAACUGUGC